rnacentral:lncRNA from 1 species
GUGGAAGAUGAGAAAAAAUAAAGAGAUGAAAGUAAAGAUGGAUGGAUAGAAAGAGAGUUCUGUUAUGAGGGAGGAGGGGGGAGGCUGUACUCAGCCAAUGAAGGAGAAACACGGGCGGGGGGUGAGGUGUCCCCUCCAGUCAGACCUCACUGCUGCAGCAACAGUGAGGAGAAGAGAGAGGUCAGGCUGCAGGCCAAACGGGACUUGGAGACACCAACAGAGAGAAAAGACUCAGAGGAAAUGUUGAACUGUUUUCUCAUGCUUUAGUCUAGUCUCCAUGCAGGACUCUUGUCUGGUCUAGUCACCCUCGCCGAGCUACAGAACAGAGGAGGACUCCCUGGUGUGGUUGCUUUCACCUGUGUGCACAAGUGUGUGUAUGUGUGUGUUUCUGGGCAUUUCAAGCAAGUAGAGCCAGGAGCACGGACCGAAGACUUGCUUUGGGACCGCAGCCAGAGCCUAUUCCCGCAUCCAGACGAAAACAUACCUCGCCUCCAUGAUCAAUUAUUCAUGUGUGUGAAAGUUCCUGUGGGUCAGGGCCAAGCCUAGGUGGCUGCUCUACUGACACUGCAACUGCUGCUGCUGCUGCUGCUUCUGCUCUGAGACACCGAUGCCUGGACAUGGACGGACAGACAGAGAGAGAGAGUAAGACUGUAAGAGAUUGAGGAGGAGUGGAGGGCAAAACACAACAGCAGCAGAAGAGGAAAAGAGAAAAAGAGCCCAAGCAGCCAAAGUCGCAGAUUCCAGGAGGAGAGUUGUGUGUGUUGUAUGUCUUGGUUGAGAGUAUGAAGGCUUUGCAGAAGAACCAGGGGCGUACUGACCAGAUGCUGGGAGCCAUGGCAGACAUCCUGACAUCAUUAGCCAUCCCUAGUCAGCAAUGGCUUACAGAGGGAGGUGAAGGGGAAACCCCAGCGAGAGAGGCCCCCAUCCAGGGCCCUUGGGGACCGGUGGGGCUGGACUGGGACCAGGACCCCCCAGAAGUCUCGGGCAGGAGGGAGAGAACAGGUAAGACCUGUCGCUGUGCGUGCAGUGGGCCUCGACAGAGGGUCUGUUUAAACACUGGGCUUUGACAAACAGGUUGCCACUCUUUUGUUGACAACGGCAAAACAAAAGAGAGGUCAUUCGGAUUGUCUUGGAGAAAGGUUUCGGACGCAGGCACACCCGCAGAUAAGUGCACACAGACGCAAGCACACACAUACACACAGACACAAGCACACACAUACGCACACAAACAAACAAGCACACACACACACACACACACACACAGACACACACACACAAACACAAACAUGCUCAGAUAUGAAAAUACAUACAUACACCUCACACACCUCAUGAGUACAACUCAAUCCGUCUCGAUUUGAGAAUUGUCCAAAAAGAAAAGGAAAACUCUAAAUAUCCUUCUUCCUACCUGCAUCUAAAAGAGGGAGACAGACGUGAACAAAAAAAGUAAGUGAGUUUGAGAGAGGCAGCAUAGAAGAGAGAGAGAGGUAGAGAGAAAAAGAGAGCGAGGUAGCAGAGAAGACAGAGAGAGAGAGAGAGAGAGAGAGAGAGAGAGAGAGAGAGAGAGAGAGAGAGAGAGAGAGAGAGAGAGAGAGAAAGAAAGAGAGAGAGAAAAAAAAUAGAGAGGUAGCAGAGAAGAGAGAAAGGUAGCAGAGAAGAGAGAGGGAGAGAAAGAGAGAGAGAGAGAGAGAGAGAGAGAGAGAGAGAGAGAGAGAGAGAGAGAGAGAGAGAGAGAGAAAGAGAGAGAGGAAGCAGAGAAGAGAGAGAGAGAGGGAGAGAGAGUGGUAGCAAAGAAGAGAGAGAGAGAGAGAUAGAGAGAUAAAUGAGAAGAAAAAUAGAGGGAGAAAGAGAUAGAGAGGUAGCAGAGAAAACAGAGAGAGAGAUAGAGAGGUAGUGAUAUAGGGGGAGAAAGGGGAAAGUGAACAAGGUGGAGAGAAUAGCUUUAGCUGUACCUGUCUCUAGUGUCUGUGUGGGUUUCAUACGAACACAACCGUUUCCAGAUGGGGUAGAGAUCACAUUCAGCCGCCCUC